UCGACGACUCAGCUGCACCAUAAGCACCCACACGAAUUGCUUGAUUCAUUGAAGAAGACGAUUAGAAGCAGCGCCCGAGUUCGGGUCUGUAGCUCAGUUGGUUAGAGCGCACCCCUGAUAAGGGUGAGGUCGGCAGUUCGAAUCUGCCCAGACCCACCAGUUUACUGGUGAGAUAGCUGGUCAGAGGGACGCCUCCACGGUAUGUAGAAAUACGGGGCCAUAGCUCAGCUGGGAGAGCGCCUGCCUUGCACGCAGGAGGUCAGCGGUUCGAUCCCGCUUGGCUCCACCACUUACUGCUUCUGUUUGAAAGCUUAGAAAUGAGCAUUCCACCCUGCAAGAAAAGGGGUGCCUGAAUGUUGAUUUCUAGUCUUUGAUUAGAUCGUUCUUUAAAAAUUUGGGUAUGUGAUAGAAAGAAAUAUAGACCGGGCACCUCUUUCACUGGUGCGUGUCCGGGCUAAGGUAAAGUUUGUGAAAUGCAAACUUUCGGCGAAUGUCGUCUUCACAGUAUAACCAG
rnacentral:tRNA from 1 species